rnacentral:ncRNA from 1 species
AGGUGUCGGAAGACUUAAUAAGGAAGUCCGGUGAGAGGUGUAUCCUCAAGGCCGGUGCGGUCCCGCCACUGUAUCAGGGAGCGAUCCUGCUAUAUGCCACUGGGAAAUAUCCUGGGAAGGCGCAGGAAAGCUGAGAUCUGGAGCCAGGAGAAUUGCCUGACC